AGAGUUUGAUCCUGGCUCAGGACUAACGCUGGCGGCGUGCCUAACACAUGCAAGUCGAACGAGUUGUUUAUAGUAGCAAUAUUACAAACAGCAAGUGGCGAACGGGUGAGUAACACGUAGAUAAUCUGCCUUUCAGACGGGGACAACUCAGGGAAACUUGUGCUAAUACCGGAUAAGACUACGGGAGGGGACUUCUGAAUCAAAAGGUGAAGAGAAAAGGUGGCCUCUUUACAAUGCUACCACUUACAGAUGAGUCUGCGUCCUAUCAGCUAGUUGGUGGGGUAAAAGCCUACCAAGGCGAAGACGGGUAGCCGACCUGAGAGGGUGACCGGCCACACUGGAACUGAGAUACGGUCCAGACUCCUACGGGAGGCAGCAGUAAGGAAUAUUGCGCAAUGGGGGCAACCCUGACGGAGCGACGCCGCGUGAGGGAUGAAGGUUUUCGGAUUGUAAAGCUCUGUGAUAUUUGACGAACGAUAUUGAGACCAUCUGACGGUACCAGAGGAGGAAGCCACGGCUAACUACGUGCCAGCAGCCGCGGUAAUACGUAGGUGGCGAGCGUUGUCCGGAAUUACUGGGCGUAAAGGGCGCGUAGGCGGCUCUUUAAGUCAGAUGUGAAAACCCAGGGCUUAACCUUGGGAGUGCAUUUGAAACUGAAGGGCUCGAGUGCAGGAGAGGUAAGUGGAAUUCCUAGUGUAGCGGUGAAAUGCGUAGAUAUUAGGAGGAACACCAGUGGCGAAGGCGACUUACUGGCUUGUAACUGACACUGAGGCGCGAAAGCGUGGGGAGCAAACAGGAUUAGAAUACCCUGGUAGUCCACGCCGGAAACGAUGGGUACUAGGUGUCGGGGGUAUCGACCCCCUCGGUGACUGAGCUAACGCAAUAAGCACUCCGCCUGGGGAGUACGGUCGCAAGACUGAAACUCAAAGGAAUUGACGGGGGCCCGCACAAGCGGUGGAGUAUGUGGUUUAAUUCGAAGCAACGCGAAGAACCUUACCAAGUCUUGACAAACAUCGACCGCUGUCCUAGAGAUAGAGUGGAGGUUAUCACGGAUACAGGUGGUGCAUGGUUGUCGUCAGCUCGUGUCGUGAGAUGUUGGGUUAAGUCCCGCAACGAGCGCAACCCCUACAGCCAGUUGCCAGCACAUAAUAGAUCACUCUAGCAGAACUGCCGGUGACAAAACGGAGGAAGGUGGGGAUGACGUCAAAUCAUCAUGCCCCUUAUGUCUUGGGCUACACACGUACUACAAUGGCCUGAACAGAGGGAAGCGAAACUGUGAAGUUUAGCGAACCCCUAAAAACAGGUCCCAGUUCGGAUUGUAGGCUGCAACUCGCCUACAUGAAGUUGGAAUCGCUAGUAAUCGCAGGUCAGCAUACUGCGGUGAAUACGUUCCCGGGCCUUGUACACACCGCCCGUCACACCACGAAAGUUGGCAACACCCGAAGCCGGUGACUCAACCCGUAAGGGAGAGAGCCGUCGAAGGUGGGGUUAGUAAUUGGGGUGAAGUCGUAACAAGGUAACCA
rnacentral:rRNA from 1 species